CCUACGGGUGGCAGCAGUGAGGAAUAUUGGUCAAUGGUCGGAAGACUGAACCAGCCAUGCCGCGUGCAGGAAGAAUGCCUUAUGGGUUGUAAACUGCUUUUAUAUAGGGAGAAUAAGGAGUACGUGUACUCUGAUGACGGUACUAUAUGAAUAAGCAUCGGCUAACUCCGUGCCAGCAGCCGCGGUAAUACGGAGGAUGCGAGCGUUAUUCGGAAUCAUUGGGUUUAAAGGGUCUGUAGGCGGGCUAUUAAGUCAGGGGUGAAAUCUUACAGCUUAACUGUGAAAUUGCCUUUGAUACUGGUAGUCUUGAAUAUUUGUGAAGUUUUUGGAAUGUGUAGUGUAGCGGUGAAAUGCUUAGAUAUUACACAGAACACCGAUUGCGAAGGCAGGAGACUAACAAAUGA
rnacentral:rRNA from 1 species